AGUGAACGCUGGCGGUAGGCCUAACACAUGCAAGUCGAACGGCAGCACAGUAAGAGCUUGCUCUUACGGGUGGCGAGUGGCGGACGGGUGAGGAAUACAUCGGAAUCUACUUUUUCGUGGGGGAUAACGUAGGGAAACUUACGCUAAUACCGCAUACGACCUACGGGUGAAAGCAGGGGAUCUUCGGACCUUGCGCGAUUGAAUGAGCCGAUGUAGGAUUAGCUAGUUGGCGGGGUAAAGGCCCACCAAGGCGACGAUCCGUAGCUGGUCUGAGAGGAUGAUCAGCCACACUGGAACUGAGACACGGUCCAGACUCCUACGGGAGGCAGCAGUGGGGAAUAUUGGACAAUGGGCGCAAGCCUGAUCCAGCAAUACCGCGUGGGUGAAGAAGGCCUUCGGGUUGUAAAGCCCUUUUGUUGGGAAAGAAAAGCAGCAGGUUAAUACCCCGCUGUUCUGACGGUACCCAAAGAAUAAGCACCGGCUAACUUCGUG
rnacentral:rRNA from 1 species